CUAGUACGGCGAGUGAAGCGGCAACAGCUCAAAUUUGAAAGCUGGCCUUCGGGUCCGCAUUGUAAUUUGUAGAGGAUGCUUUGGGUGAAACGCCAGUCUAAGUUCCUUGGAACAGGACGUCAUAGAGGGUGAGAAUCCCGUAUGUGACUGGAAAUGUUAACCUAUGUAAAGCUCCUUCGACGAGUCGAGUUGUUUGGGAAUGCAGCUCUAAAUGGGAGGUAAAUUUCUUCUAAAGCUAAAUAUUGGCGAGAGACCGAUAGCGCACAAGUAGAGUGAUCGAAAGAUGAAAAGCACUUUGGAAAGAGAGUUAAAAAGCACGUGAAAUUGUUGAAAGGGAAGCGCUUGCAAUCAGACUUGUUUAAACUGUUCGGCCGGUCUUCUGACCGGUUUACUCAGUUUGGACAGGCCAGCAUCAGUUUCGGCGGCCGGAUAAAGGCUCUGGGAAUGUGGCCUUCACUUCGGUGAAGGUGUUAUAGCCCAGGGUGUAAUACGGCCAGCCGGGACUGAGGUCCGCGCUUCGGCUAGGAUGCUGGCGUAAUGGUUGUAAGCGACCCGUCUUGAAACACGGACCAAGGAGUCUAACAUCUAUGCGAGUGUUCGGGUGUCAAACCCCUGCGCGUAAUGAAAGUGAACGGAGGUGGGAACCGCAAGGUGCACCAUCGACCGAUCCUGAUGUCUUCGGAUGGAUUUGAGUAAG
rnacentral:rRNA from 1 species